rnacentral:rRNA from 1 species
UUCACGGUUGAUCCCGCCGGACCCCACUGCUAUCGAGAUGGGACUAAGGUAUGCUAGUCGAACGACCAGAACUAUGUCUGGAAGUGGCACACUGCUCAGUAACACGUAGCUAAACCUACCCUUCGGACGUGGAUACCCCCGAGAAAUUGGGGUUAAUCCGCGAUAGAUGUAAUGUCCUGGAAUGGUAUUACGUCCAAAAAGUAUUUCAUACAUGUUUGAAAUAUGCCGAAGGAUGGGGCUGCGGCCGAUCAGGCAGUUGGUGAGGUAAUGGCUCACCAAACCUUUGACCAGGUACGGGCCAUGAGAGUGGUAGCCCGGAGAUGGACACUGAGACAAGGGUCCAGGCCCUAAUGGGCGCAGACAAACCGCGAAACCUCCACAAUGCACUCAACGUGCGAUGGGGCUAUCUCGAGUGCCAACUGAUGAAGGUGGCUUCUCCUCGGUACUUCAAAGCCUUGGGAAUAAAGACGGGGGGCAAGACUGGUUGUCAGCCGCCGCAGGUAACAACAGGCCCUACGAGUGGUGGGGGAUAGAUUAUAUAGGCCUAAAGCCGUCCGUA